rnacentral:rRNA from 1 species
GCGGCGNGCCUAACACAUGCAAGUCGAUCGGUAACAGGUGUAGCAAUACAUGCUGACGAGAGGCGGACGGGUGAGGAAUGUCUGGGAAUCUGCCCAUCAGCGGGGGACAACCCGGGGAAACCCGGGCUAAUACCGCAUACGCUCUACGGAGGAAAGCCGGGGACCGCAAGGCCUGGCACUGAUGGAUGAGCCCAAAUCGGAUUAGCUAGUUGGCGGGGUAACGGCCCACCAAGGCUACGAUCCGUAGCUGGUCUGAGAGGACGAUCAGCCACACCGGAACUGAGACACGGUCCGGACUCCUACGGGAGGCAGCAGUGGGGAACAUUGGACAAUGGGCGAAAGCCUGAUCCAGCGACGCCGCGUGGGUGAAGAAGGCCUGCGGGUUGUAAAGCCCUUUCGGUAGGGACGAAAACCUUCGACUUAACACGUCGAGGGAUUGACUUAACCUACAUAAGAAGCACCGGCUAACUCUGUGCCAGCAGCCGCGGUAAUACAGAGGGUGCGAGCGUUAAUCGGAAUUACUGGGCGUAAAGCGCACGUAGGCGGCUUUGCAAGUCGGUUGUGAAAUCCCCGGGCUCAACCUGGGAACUGCGACCGAAACUGCAUUGUAAGAGUAUGGGAGAGGAAAGCGGAAUUUCUGGUGUAGCAGUGAAAUGCGUAGAUAUCAGAAGGAACAUCAGUGGGCGAAGGCGGCUUUCUGGACCAAUACUUGACGCUUAAGUGCGAAAGCGUGGGGAGCAAACAAGGAUAAAAUCCCUGGUAGUCCACGCCUAAACGAUGACACUGG